UCAACACUGGAUUUUCGCAAAGGUUGAUUCUGAAAGAGGGGAUCAAGACCAACGCUUCGUACGUGAACAUCAGCUCCAGACAAAGUGAAAAACACUACUGAGUGACUACAUGAGACAGGAUAGAGACUUUGCCAGUUCACCAAAGCAGAAUCUCCAGGGCACUCUCUCAUAGUCUGGUUGCAGUGAUCUACGCAAAUGAAAGGACACUCGACUACGGCUCGCUGAGCACUAAAAUUCACACCACUGCCAACAUUUUAACAAGACAACCCUCAUCCCAGAAGGUCCUUUGGUGAUGAGCAUUACGACAAUGACAGGAGAAUGUUCCAGGUGUUGCAAUAAUCUUCGUCAUCAUGUCCUCUUCCUUAAUCACUACCUCCAGGCUUGAUACUUUCUGCUUGACUAGGUGCUGAUUGCAAGGGCAGAGUAAAACAGGGAAGAUGUAUAAUUGCUCAAUUUCAGCCCAAAGGGAACGGUAGGGUUGUUGAAGGAAUCAAUAAGCGACAGGCUAAGGGCUUUGGCCCAGGAGACGGCUUAAGUACCUCAAAAGUGAGAGAAUAGAAGAGGAAAGAAAAGAGUUCUUAGAUAAAACGAACCCAAUAACUUUCUACGGUGCAGUCUUCAAAACGAAAGUUGACAUCUAUUCUUACAUAUAUGUGAAUUUCAGCCAAAAGCACAUCAUUCAUCCUGACGAUCCUAUAGCAGUAUAACUCAAUCACUUUUCCAUGGUGUAGUUCUUAGGUCUUAUAUGUGGGUAUAAAUAAAGCCCAUGAGAUAUUUUUCUUCCCAGAGCACAUCAUUCAUCUUUACGUAUAUAAAAGAUAUUAGAUCAUACUGCAUGUCUGUAAAUAGCCAGUCGACAUGAUUCAUGAGCAUGAACAUCACACUUUCCUCAAGUCCUAAGAGAUUUUAUUUUUAACCAAGGAAUAUUUAAAUGGCCAUAUGUGUAUCAGUAAACAAGAAAAAGACAAUGUACAAAUGUAUGCUUAUAUGAAUAAAUCUGAUAAACAUGAAGUUAUGCAUGCACACGCACGCAGUAAACUUAUCAGCAUGCAAUAUAAGUUGAGUCAAAAGAGGCAGAGGCUCUAUUUAAAUAUCUGACUCUAGUAGCUUUGAGACUGAAUAUUGCGUGUGAUCUCUUUUCAUUCAGCACACACACGCAUGCACACACAAACGUCCCACCAGCCUCAUCUGUAGUCCUCUGUCACCAAGGUGCAGGAGAGAGUGAAGUGGAGAAUUGAGAAAAAGCAAGAGUGAUAGAAGGUGAAAUGUUGUUUGAUCAUGAAUAGUUCAGUCACUCAAAAGCAGUAUUCCAAGGCGUAAGCCGGGUGAACUG